rnacentral:rRNA from 1 species
CGAACGAUUAAGACUUCCUUCGGGAAGUGCAUAAAGUGGCGCACGGGUGAGUAACACGUAAGUAAUCUACCUUCGAGUGGGGAAUAACAGUCGGAAACGACUGCUAAUACCGCAUAAUGCAGUGGCAUCGUAAGAUGACAGUUGUUAAAGGAGCAAUUCGCUUGAAGAGGAGCUUGCGGCAGAUUAGCUAGUUGGUAAGGUAAUGGCUUACCAAGGCAACGAUCUGUAACCGGUCUAAGAGGACGGUCGGUCACACUGACACUGAAUAACGGGUCAGACUCCUACGGGAGGCAGCAGUCGGGAAUUUUGGGCAAUGGGGGAAACCCUGACCCAGCAGCGCCGCGUGAAGGAUGAAGUAUUUCGGUAUGUAAACUUCGAAAGAAUAGGAAGAAUUAAUGACGGUACUAUUUAUAAGGUCCGGCUAACUACGUGCCAGCAGCCGCGGUAAUACGUAGGGACCAAGCGUUGUUCGGAUUUACUGGGCGUAAAGGGCGCGUAGGCGGCAUGACAAGUCACUUGUGAAAUCUCCGGGCUUAACUCGGAACGGCCAAGUGAUACUGUCGCGCUAGAGUGCGGAAGGGGCAAUCAGAAUUCUUGGUGUAGCGGUGAAAUGCGUAGAUAUCAAGAGGAAUACCUGAGGUGAAGACGGGUUGCUAGGCCGACACUGACGCUGAGUGCGCGAAAGCCAGGGGAGCAAACGGGAUUAGAUA